AGCGCCUAACACAUUAUUUCAAAGGACCCGUCGACCGCCUGAGCAGCAGCACGUCGCGCCAGCACCACCGCCGCAUCGCUAGCCUGUGAGCCUCCGCACGCCGCACCUCUACAUCGACCGCUCGUUUGCAGCCCACCUCUGCAUCGCGCGACUGGGAGCCGCCGCAGCACUGCCCCUCGUGCUCGUGAGCCGCCGCACGCCGCACCUCUGCAUCGACCGCUCGUUUACAGCCCACCGCUGUAUCGCGCGACUGUGAGCCUCCGCACGCACGCACCUCUGCAUCGACUGCUCGUUUGCCACCCACCCGGCUCCUCUGCAGUUCAGCAGUUCAACGUUCCCAACCUUAAGCCAUUGCUUACUAUCAUCAACGUGAAGGUAAAAGUAACACUUCCAAUGGCUGGCGAUGGAAGCAAAAGCAGUGAAGUCUCAGCAAUUCCACCUCGAAAAAUCAAUGUGCAGAAAUUUGUAGAAUCGCGCGCUUCUGAGCUCGAGACUCUUCACUCAAUAGUAUCAGACCGGUUGAAUAACAAUUUCCGAUCUCGAAGAAACAAGAGAAGAAGAACCACUGCGUAUGACAAUCAAAAUGCAAAGAAGAGAGAUAAAAGAAGGAGAAAAUUUGAAAUAGCUAUUGAUAGAAGCAAUAAUGUGGCUUCGGAGCAAAACCAGGAAAGGCUUCCUCCUCGUCGCGUUCGGCGGAGAGUUGAACUUAGAAGGAAUUCUAAAAGUGGUUUCUCUACUUCCAGCGAAGGGACAAAGAGGCUGAGAACGUAUCUUUGGCAUUCGAAGAGGUUCACAAUGACAAAGCUGUGGGGUUUCCACCUUCCCCUGGGUUUGCAGGGCAGAGGAAGGGGGUCUCGAGCUUCAUUGAAGUGGUACAAGCAUGGGGCUCUUGUGCAUGAUGCAAGCUAUUAUACUGCUGUCCAGUUGGAGGGUCCAGAGGAUUCAUUAACGUCAAUCCUAAGGAUGGUGCUCGAGCCUUCUUCAUCAACUCAAUCUGAGGAAAUUACAAAUACUAUUCUUUCUGGUUGUAUCUAUGGAACCGCCAUGCUUCAUCAUGUUGGAGCGCCUGUUUCUGAAUUGAUAGCUCCUGUGACUUAUAUGUGGCGACCUUAUCAUCUUCCGAAUGGAGAAAACGGUGGUAGUCACUGUAAUUCUGAUGGAUGCAAUGAGUCGACAAGUUCUGAAUCAUUUUCUUCCCAUCGCCAGCUUUGGGUGUUGAUACAUGCUUCAGCUUUCAAUGAGGGAUAUGAUGCUCUAAAAUUUGCUUGUCAGAAACUUAUGAGUGAGAGUGGCAUCUUGAUCAAUUGCAUUUCACUUGAAGGCGAACUUGCAAAACUAGAGGUAAUGGGAUCGAAGGCAUUUCAACUUCUUCAAAAGAUAUUACAUCCUGUUUAUUGUGAUUCAAAGAAUUCCUGGCAACUGAGGAAAUGUGCUGUUGAAGAUGCGGAUCAUGAUUCCAAGCUUAAGAAUCCUUCUAUACUAGAAAAUGAGCAGAAUAUGUCUUCAUGUUCUAUGUUUCCUUUUACAGUCAGGGAUCCUCGAGCAAUGUCUGAGACAAAGAUCGGUGAUGUUUCUGUGGCAGCUGCUACCACAAUGAAUUAUGUGUCUGAAGAUGAACCUAGAAAGGAUGUCACUCCACUGGGAAAUCCAGAAAAGAUUGAAGAUUUACUUUGGCAACCAUGUUCAAAACCUGAAGGGGAUAGCAGUUUCUCUAACAAAGGGGAUCUGUGGGAUGCAGCUUGCAGAAUAAGUCUCCCUGUGGAAGAUAAUGUUCUUUGCUUGGAAAAACACCGUUUGCGUAUGGAUUUCGUUUGCCUUGAUGAUGCAAAAUCAGGGAUGCCGAGUACUGCAGUUGAUGUUCAUGGUUCAAGAUCUUGCCCUAUUGUUCUUCUUAAACACAACAAUGGAAUGGGCUCAUUCAUGGGAUGGUCAAUAAUAAUGCCCUUGUGCUGGGUCAAGGUCUUUUGGAUAUCUUUCAUCUCCAAAGGAGCUCGUGCCAUAGGUCUUAGAGAGAAACGAUGGAUUGCAUGUGAAGUAGGGUUACCCUUUUUUCCUUCAGAUUUUCCUGACUGUAAUCCAUACCUCUCUUCUAAGGCAAUUGAAAGUGCUGCCAUAGACCAAAAAGCAGAACGACUAUGUCCUGCUGUAAGAUCCUUGAAAGUGCCUGUUCCACCCCCAUGGAAUAGCGUCCGCAUUGCUGUGCAAGUGGCUUCAAGUUCUCAUGCAAAAGACAUGAUUGGUGGCAAUUCAAUGUCAAUCUUUAGAUGUGAUCAUAGUGAUAUAACAUCACUCAGGGUUGAUGGUAACUCAUUUGAUGGAAUUGUAGCAAGGACAUCCAAUAUGUUGGCUGAUUUUAUGAAUGAAAUAUAUGGUGAUUGUUCACUUUUAUUCCCUCAAGCUCCAAACUGGAAGAUGAAGUUUCUAAAGUCUAUCAAUGAUGAAAGUAAACUUGGUCAACUUCAAAAUGGUAUUAUGCGAAUGAAUUCUAACCGUCAAAUGUGCUUUGUUAGAGUUCUUCUCCAUGCAUAUAAAAAAGGUGUUUUUGAAGAGGGAGCAGUUGUAUGUGCACCUUGUCUCAGUGAUGUGUCACUAUUGACUUCCAGGUCAGAAAAUAAUGAGACUGGUUUUCAGAUUCCUACCUCUGUGGUGAGGUCAUACUUCAAAGAGCAAUCUUCUGGUAAGUGGGAACUCCAGAUACCAGAAAACGCUGCUGAAGAGUCCCAUAGGUGGCCUAUUGGUUUUGUCACGACAGGAUUUGUUCGAGGGAGCAAGAAGCCAAUGGCAGAGGCCUUUUGUGAAGCAGUUUUACUAGCGCAUCUUAGGGAAGAACAGUGGAAUGGGAUACCUGUAAAGAAGAGUAGAAAAGAAAUAUAUGUGCUUGUCAGGAACUUGAGAUCUUCAGCAUAUAGACUUGCUAUGGCAUCAGUUAUCUUGGAACAACACCAAGACGAUAUGGAGUUCUUGUGAAAUGCUGCAGGUGUGAUAACAAAUGCGCAGAUGAAGUUAGGUAGAUUAUGUCGAGUCAUUAUGAUGUUACAUUGCAAAAAUGGAUUAGAGCUAUUGCAGGUGGAUGUUGCCCAUGCGGCUUUGAUCCGCAGUAACUUAAGCCCAAAGGAGAGCAGAAGCUCGUUCCUGGAAGUCAGCUGGCAACCUCCUCCCGUGAAAUUGCUUCAAAGUGAAUACGAAUGGUUGCUUUCUUGAUGUUUGGUUCGUGCUUUAUGGGAAUGGUCUUUUCAGAGACUGGAAUGAUAAUUGUUGGGCAAGUGUUCUAUCUUUGCUGCUGAACUCUUGGCAACUUAUAAUCGUUUAAGAUAUUGAUUUGAGAAUCCCACGGAUGAUAGUUGAGUGUGAUAACAUAGGCGUUAUGGAAGCUAUAACUGAUUGCAUCAUCUUAUUCAGGAUGCUUUGCUUCUUUACUCAAGGCUGUUUCUUCCCUUUUACAAGCGGUUCUAAAAGUUAAAAGUCACACGUAUCCCUAGAGAAUCUACUGCCGACUGGUUAGUGGACUUCGCGAAGGAUGUCCCUAGAGGCGUCGAUGUUCUGGCUUCUCCACUAGAGUUGCUGCCUUGGCUUCAAAAAGGGAUGUAGUUGGAGUUAUCUCUCUGACGUUAGUUUUUGUGUUUUUGUUGCCUUGUAUUCCUUUUAUUAUCCCAAGCAAAAAACAAAAGUCAUAAUCACUAGGAAGCUCUUAUUGUUUUAAAAAUGAAUUAUAUACUUGAUGUUUUGUGAAUUAUUAAUUAUAUAUGUUAAUCAGUAUUUAUUACAUUAAA